rnacentral:rRNA from 1 species
AAGACGGGUGAGAAUCCCGUCCACCGAUUGACUAAGGUUUCCAGAGGAAGGCUCGUCCGCUCUGGGUUAGUCGGGUCCUAAGCUGAGGCCGACAGGCGUAGGCGAUGGAUAACAGGUUGAUAUUCCUGUACCACCUAGUAUCGUUUUAAUCGAUGGGGGGACGCAGUAGGAUAGGCGAAGCGUGCUGUUGGAGUGCACGUCCAAGCAGUAAGGCUGAGUGUUAGGCAAAUCCGGCACUCAUAAGGCUGAGCUGUGAUGGGGAGAGGAAAUUGUUUCCUCGAGUCGUUGAUUUCACACUGCCGAGAAAAGCCUCUAGAUAGAUAACAGGUGCCCGUACCGCAAACCGACACAGGUAGUCAAGAUGAGAAUUCUAAGGUGAGCGAGCGAACUCUCGUUAAGGAACUCGGCAAAAUGACCCCGUAACUUCGGGAGAAGGGGUGCUCUUUAGGGUUCACGCCCAGAAGAGCCGCAGUGAAUAGGCCCAAGCGACUGUUUAUCAAAAACACAGGUCUCUGCUAAACCGUAAGGUGAUGUAUAGGGGCUGACGCCUGCCCGGUGCUGGAAGGUUAAGAGGAGUGGUUAGCUUCUGCGAAGCUACGAAUCGAAGCCCCAGUAAACGGCGGCCGUAACUAUAACGGUCCUAAGGUAGCGAAAUUCC